AUCUAAAUAGCUUAUUUUAGAGCGUGACACUGAAGAUGUUAAGGAGACUUUAUUAGUCUUUGGAUA
rnacentral:tRNA from 1 species